UGGACCAGUGAUGAGACUGGAUGGUGUCUGAAUCAAAAAUUUUCAUUGAAGCUGUCCAGAAUUGUGAGGUUCAU
ensembl:snoRNA